GCGGGAUGAGCUCAAAUUUAAAAUCUGGCCGGUUUACUGGUCCGAAUUGUAGUUUAAAGAAGCGUUUUCGGUGGCAGCCUGGGUAUAAAUCCUUUGGAAUAGGGUAUCAUAGAGGGUGAGAAUCCCGUCUUUGACUCAGUGCAUGCUACUAUGUGAUACGUUUUCAAAGAGUCGAGUUGUUUGGGAAUGCAGCUCAAAAUGGGUGGUAAAUCUCAUCUAAGGCUAAAUAUUGGCGAGAGACCGAUAGCGAACAAGUACCGUGAGGGAAAGAUGAAAAGAACUUUGAAAAGAGAGUUAAACAGUGCGUGAAAUUGUUGAAAGGGAAACGUUUGACACCAGUCAUGCGGGCGGAAAAUCAGUCUUUUGUAGUGGGGAAGCGCGUGGGUUCAGACCGCAAGGCUGGCCUAUGUGUUCUCUCUGCUGCGAGUGAUGCACUUUUUCGUCUGCAGGCCAACAUCAGUUUCUUCUGCUGGACAAAACUCUAAGAGAAGGUAGCAGCUUAGGCUGUGUUAUAGCUCUGGAGCGAUACAGUGGAGGAGACUGAGGUUUUCGCAGCGUGUGCUCUCGGGCAAGGCGGAUUGGGUGCUAUGAGAUCGUUCGGCGUACAAUGCAUGCAUUUUGCGCCGUGUCUUUUUCAUACUCGCUCAACUCUGC
rnacentral:rRNA from 1 species